rnacentral:rRNA from 1 species
GACGAACGCNGGCGGCGGGCCUAACACAUGCAAGUCGAACGCACUCGACCUUCGGGUCACAUGAGUGAGUGGCGAACGGGUGAGUAACACGUGAGGAACCUGCCCCGAAGACUGGAAUAACCCGGGGAAACUCGGGCUAAUACCGGAUGCCCCCAUCGGAUCGCAUGGUCCGGUGAGGAAAUGCUCCGGCGCUUCGGGAGGGCCUCACGGCCUAUCAGCUAGUUGGUGAGGUAACGGCUCACCAAGGCAACGACGGGUAGCUGGUCUGAGAGGACGAUCAGCCACACUGGGACUGAGACACGGCCCAGACUCCUACGGGAGGCAGCAGUGGGGAAUCUUGCGCAAUGGGCGAAAGCCUGACGCAGCCACGCCGCGUGAGGGAUGAAGGCUCUCGGGUUGUAAACCUCUUUCAGCAGGGACGAAAAUGACGGUACCUGCAGAAGAAGCUCCGGCCAACUACGUGCCAGCAGCCGCGGUAACACGUAGGGAGCGAGCGUUGUCCGGAUUUAUUGGGCGUAAAGAGCUCGUAGGCGGUUCGGUAAGUCAGGUGUGAAAGCUCGAGGCUCAACCUCGAGAGGCCACCUGAUACUGCUGUGACUUGAGUCCGGUAGGGGAGUGUGGAAUUCCUGGUGUAGCGGUGAAAUGCGCAGAUAUCAGGAGGAACACCUACAGCGAAGGCAGCACUCUGGGCCGGUACUGACGCUGAGGAGCGAAAGCGUGGGGAGCGAACAGGAUUAGAUACCCUGGUAGUCCACGCCGUAAACGUUGGGCACUAGGUGUGGGGUCGAAUUAACCGAUUCCGUGCCGUAGCUAACGC